GCAAGUGGGAGAGAGAAUGACGAAAGUGCGAGAUCUUUUCCGGGAUACAGAGACAACAGAGUUGUGAUAGUAACAAUACCCACUGCAAUGGCAGUUAGCGAGUCUUCGAGGUUGUGUGCAUCCUUAAAGAAGGAAAAAGUUCCAGUACGAAGGCUUAUUGUAAAUCAAGUGUUACCUCCAUCACUGUCAGACUGCAAGUUCUGUGCAAUGAAAAGGAAGGACCAGAUGCAUGCCUUUGAUAUGAUUCAUAAAGACCAGGACUCAUCGAGUUUGAAAAUGGUUGAGGCGCCUCUGUUUGAUGUGGAAAUUAGGGAUGUUCCAGCACUUAAGUUUAUGGGGAAUGUCAUUUGGCGUUAAAGCUUCACUUUUGACGGUUCCGAAAAAGAUAGGAAAUGAAAGAUACCAGAUAUCUGUAAGACCAUUAUUGACUACUACUAUUAUCAGCAGCUCAGUAAAACAUGGUAAUGAAGAUGGAGGAAACUAUUCAU